UUGCUUUAUCUAAGUCAAUUAAAUAAUCCAUAUUACAUUUCAGCACGCUUACAAAGUUUACAAAUGUUUUUCUAUAAUGAGAAUAUAAGAUCAGAACCAGGGAUACUUCUAAGUAAGUUAUGUAUUAACAAAGUAGUGUCUGUAGUAGUGUUCUAAGCCUAAAUGAAGACCAGGCAUUCCAUCAGUAAGGAACAGAUGGCUGCUCCAUCCCAACCAACGUUAUUGGGUCAGAUGGCGCGGGCACUAUUUUUCAUCGAUGUCCGUUACUUUUCUCUCAUUUUGGUGGUCAAAUAUCCGUGACGGUCCUAAACUUUUCUUCUCGGUUUUAUCAGUUUUAAGCCUCCUUCUUAGUGUGGUACAGGGGAAAAAACCCAAACUGAUCUGGCCGCUUCAUUUAUGCCUACAUGGCCAUCUCUUACUUACGGUAUAACCGAGAUUGGUCGCUCCUUAUUCCGUAUGGCUCCGAGAGACUUCCUUCGCCUUUAUAUUCUAUGGGCGUGUAUAAAGUAAAGAAAUCUUAUUUUACACGUCGGACAGAUGACUCGAGCCAUUUCACCCAACCUAGUCAAAUGAGAUGUUUUUUCAAUUUUUUAAAAAUGGUUUAUUUUGUUUACUUUUUUAAUUUUCUUUAAAUAAUUUUUGAAAUUACUUUGCGCAUAUGAUUCCAC
rnacentral:lncRNA from 1 species